rnacentral:lncRNA from 1 species
GUGCAUUGUUCUGCCUCCUGCAAACACACUUGCUAGAUUGCGACUCCCCAUCAAUACAGUCCCCGCUGCACCCCUCAAGGCCUAGCAACAUGCUGAACUUGUUGCACACUUCAGCCUCCUACGGACGUAUCCUUCACAUGCCGAAGAGAAAGUUUCAAUGCUCCAUGGCGCCGAGUUUCGGUCGCCUUGGGAUGGCCGCGAACAUUCCAUCGUCCGCAUACAAGCC